CGGGACACGUGGUAUCCUGUCUGAAUAUGGGGGGACCAUCCUCCAAGGCUAAAUACUCCUGACUGACCGAUAGUGAACCAGUACCGUGAGGGAAAGGCGAAAAGAACCCCGGCGAGGGGAGUGAAAAAGAACCUGAAACCGUGUACGUACAAGCAGUGGGAGCACGCUUAGGCGUGUGACUGCGUACCUUUUGUAUAAUGGGUCAGCGACUUAUAUUCUGUAGCAAGGUUAACCGAAUAGGGGAGCCGAAGGGAAACCGAGUCUUAACUGGGCGUUAAGUUGCAGGGUAUAGACCCGAAACCCGGUGAUCUAGCCAUGGGCAGGUUGAAGGUUGGGUAACACUAACUGGAGGACCGAACCGACUAAUGUUGAAAAAUUAGCGGAUGACUUGUGGCUGGGGGUGAAAGGCCAAUCAAACCGGGAGAUAGCUGGUUCUCCCCGAAAGCUAUUUAGGUAGCGCCUCGUGAAUUCAUCUCCGGGGGUAGAGCACUGUUUCGGCAAGGGGGUCAUCCCGACUUACCAACCCGAUGCAAACUGCGAAUACCGGAGAAUGUUAUCACGGGAGACACACGGCGGGUGCUAACGUCCGUCGUGAAGAGGGAAACAACCCAGACCGCCAGCUAAGGUCCCAAAGUCAUGGUUAAGUGGGAAACGAUGUGGGAAGGCCCAGACAGCCAGGAUGUUGGCUUAGAAGCAGCCAUCAUUUAAAGAAAGCGUAAUAGCUCACUGGUCGAGUCGGCCUGCGCGGAAGAUGUAACGGGGCUAAACCAUGCACCGAAGCUGCGGCAGCGACGCUGAUGCGUUGUUGGGUAGGGGAGCGUUCUGUAAGCCUGUGAAGGUGUGCUGUGAGGCAUGCUGGAGGUAUCAGAAGUGCGAAUGCUGACAUAAGUAACGAUAAAGCGGGUGAAAAGCCCGCUCGCCGGAAGACCAAGGGUUCCUGUCCAACGUUAAUCGGGGCAGGGUGAGUCGACCCCUAAGGCGAGGCCGAAAGGCGUAGUCGAUGGGAAACAGGUUAAUAUUCCUGUACUUGGUGUUACUGCGAAGGGGGGACGGAGAAGGCUAUGUUGGCCGGGCGACGGUUGUCCCGGUUUAAGCGUGUAGGCUGGUUUUCCAGGCAAAUCCGGAAAAUCAAGGCUGAGGCGUGAUGACGAGGCACUACGGUGCUGAAGCAACAAAUGCCCUGCUUCCAGGAAAAGCCUCUAAGCAUCAGGUAACAUCAAAUCGUACCCCAAACCGACACAGGUGGUCAGGUAGAGAAUACCAAGGCGCUUGAGAGAACUCGGGUGAAGGAACUAGGCAAAAUGGUGCCGUAACUUCGGGAGAAGGCACGCUGAUAUGUAGGUGAAGCGACUUGCUCGUGGAGCUGAAAUCAGUCGAAGAUACCAGCUGGCUGCAACUGUUUAUUAAAAACACAGCACUGUGCAAACACGAAAGUGGACGUAUACGGUGUGACGCCUGCCCGGUGCCGGAAGGUUAAUUGAUGGGGUCAGCGCAAGCGAAGCUCUUGAUCGAAGCCCCGGUAAACGGCGGCCGUAACUAUAACGGUCCUAAGGUAGCGAAAUUCCUUGUCGGGUAAGUUCCGACCUGCACGAAUGGCGUAAUGAUGGCCAGGCUGUCUCCACCCGAGACUCAGUGAAAUUGAACUCGCUGUGAAGAUGCAGUGUACCCGCGGCAAGACGGAAAGACCCCGUGAACCUUUACUAUAGCUUGACACUGAACAUUGAGCCUUGAUGUGUAGGAUAGGUGGGAGGCUUUGAAGUGUGGACGCCAGUCUGCAUGGAGCCGGCCUUGAAAUACCACCCUUUAAUGUUUGAUGUUCUAACGUUGACCCGUGAUCCGGGUUGCGGACAGUGUCUGGUGGGUAGUUUGACUGGGGCGGUCUCCUCCUAAAGAGUAACGGAGGAGCACGAAGGUUGGCUAAUCCUGGUCGGACAUCAGGAGGUUAGUGCAAUGGCAUAAGCCAGCUUGACUGCGAGCGUGACGGCGCGAGCAGGUGCGAAAGCAGGUCAUAGUGAUCCGGUGGUUCUGAAUGGAAGGGCCAUCGCUCAACGGAUAAAAGGUACUCCGGGGAUAACAGGCUGAUACCGCCCAAGAGUUCAUAUCGACGGCGGUGUUUGGCACCUCGAUGUCGGCUCAUCACAUCCUGGGGCUGAAGUAGGUCCCAAGGGUAUGGCUGUUCGCCAUUUAAAGUGGUACGC
rnacentral:rRNA from 1 species